UGCUUUCUAAAAAUAAAAAACAUGAUGAUUGGGUUUUCACACGCCUGUUUGAUAUGUGUCUGUCUCCCUUCAACCUUGUUACGAUGUCAGCAUAUGACCCUGUGACA